ensembl:lncRNA
AAGUCCCCUCACCUGUUCUCUCACCUGCAUCUGAUCAUCCAUCAAACCACUGUACAGACUCCUGCUGCUCAGACACACAGGUUUUCCGUGACGGACCCUCCCGCGGACUGACACCCUGUUACCGACCCGGCCUGCCUUUCCCCGUUCUUCCCGCCUGGCCUGACUCCCGGUAAACCCAUUUGAUUGCUGUUCUGGAAGGAUUGUAAUAUAAGCCAAAGAUCCCUGUAAUCUUGUGUGUUAUAUUUUGGUCUUUUUAGAACUGGUUACAGACGGGUUUACAUGCGCACACACACACAUUCCCCAUUGUGACACGUUACGAAUAUUAAGAAUACCUCUGAACCUCAUCCAAGAAAAUUUUCCAAACUGCUAAUGGUUUCAAUGGAAAGUUGUGUGCCUGCUUGAUAACCAUUUGGGUGCAAUUUUAAGCUAUUAAUACUUCAUUUUGGUAAUUGUGGGGUCAUCUCUGGGGUGUCUAGAUAUUUCCUCAACAGCUGGCUGCAAAACAGAGUUUGGUCUGGUCUGUGAGACAAUAAAAGCUCAGAGUCUGGCUAGACUUACUGUCAAAUCAAAGGAAAAAAGAGGUCAGAGACAAAAUGAUAGCCGCCGAGACAUCAGAGCAACGGGCGGGUAGAUAAGGAAGCCUAAAUGGCCAACAGACGGUACUUAGAAGUUCCAGAUAGACGUGCACCUGAAAAUAAACUAAAAC